GAAUGAGAAUCAGAGCAUGCCGUAGUUCGGCUAACUACGGGGUUAUGGAGUGGGUUUUGGACAAACGACGUUACUACACAAUCUACCGGAUGCUCGACCUUUGGAGACUUACUCACCUGUAGUAGAAGGAGUAAACGUGUGUUUAGGAGAAGAAAAAUCAAUGAAGGGUUUGGGUUUGGUGAACUCAUGCAAAAAGGCAGUCCUUGACGAAGGAACCUGUAAAAAAAAAAAAACAACACACAAAAACAUUGCCUCCUGUCGAGGUCUUCCAGCUAGGAA
rnacentral:lncRNA from 1 species